UACGGAGGGGGCUAGCGUUGUUCGGAAUUACUGGGCGUAAAGCGCACGUAGGCGGCUUUGUAAGUUAGAGGUGAAAGCCCAGGGCUUAACUCUGGAAUUGCCUUUAAGACUGCAUCGCUAGAAUCGUGGGGAGGUGAGUGGAACUCCGAGUGUAGAGGUGAAAUUCGUAGAUAUUCGGAAGAACACCAGUGGCGAAGGCGACUCACUGGACACGUAUUGACGCUGAGGUGCGAAAGCGUGGGGAGCAAACAGG
rnacentral:rRNA from 1 species